rnacentral:rRNA from 1 species
GAUGAACGCUGGCGGCGUGCCUAAUACAUGCAAGUCGAGCGAAUGGAUUAAGAGCUUGCUCUUAUGAAGUUAGCGGCGGACGGGUGAGUAACACGUGGGUAACCUGCCCAUAAGACUGGGAUAACUCCGGGAAACCGGGGCUAAUACCGGAUAACAUUUUGAACCGCAUGGUUCGAAAUUGAAAGGCGGCUUCGGCUGUCACUUAUGGAUGGACCCGCGUCGCAUUAGCUAGUUGGUGAGGUAACGGCUCACCAAGGCAACGAUGCGUAGCCGACCUGGGAGGGUGAUCGGCAACACUGGGACUGGGACACGGCCCAGACUCCUACGGGAGGCAGCAGUAGGGAAUCUUCCGCAAUGGACGAAAGUCUGACGGAGCAACGCCGCGUGAGUGACGAAGGCUUUCGGGUCGUAAAACUCUGUUGUUAGGGAAGAACAAGUGCUAGUUGAAUAAGCUGGCACCUUGACGGUACCUAACCAGAAAGCCACGGCUAACUACGUGCCAGCCGCCGCAGUAA